rnacentral:rRNA from 1 species
UACGAAAGGGGCUAGCGUUGUUCGGAAUUACUGGGCGUAAAGCGCACGUAGGCGGCCUUGUAAGAUGGGGGUGAAAUCCCCGGGCUCAACCCGGGAACUGCCUUCAUGACUGCAAAGCUAGAGGAUGCGAGAGGUUAGCGGAAUUCCGAGUGUAGAGGUGAAAUUCGUGGAUAUUCGGAAGAACACCAGUGGCGAAGGCGGCUAACUGGCGCAUUUCUGACGAUGAGGUGCGAAAGCGUGGGUAGCGAACAGG